rnacentral:rRNA from 1 species
ACGGAAGGCAGCAGUGGGGAAUAUUGGACAAUGGGGGAAACCCUGAUCCAGCGACGCCGCGUGAGUGAAGAAGUAUUUCGGUAUGUAAAGCUCUAUCCGCAAGGAAGAAAAUGACGGUACUUGACUAAGAAGCCCCGGCUAACUACGUGCCAGCAGCCGCGGUAAUACGUAGGGGGCAAGCGUUAUCCGGAUUUACUGGGUGUAAAGGGAGCGUAGACGGUGUGGCAAGUCUGAAGUGAAAGCCCGCGGCUUAACUGCGGGACUGCUUUGGAAACUGUCAGACUAGAGUGUCGGAGAGGUGAGUGGAAUUCCCAGUGUAGCGGUGAAAUGCGUAGAUAUUGGGAGGAACACCGGAGGCGAAGGCGGCUCACUGGACGAUAACUGACGUUGAGGCUCGAAAGUGUGGGUAGCAAACAGGAUUAGAUACCCUGGUA